AACGAAGUUAUUAACAACGAAUUUAAUAAAAGAAUGAAUUAAAUGAAAAAUUAAAUAUAUUAUGUAAGGCCUUAAUGAUAAAAUCAACUAAUAGAAAACCAGGCAAAUGAGCCAAUAUUGGAUGUUGUAUUCAAUGUAUUAUAUAAAUGACUUUAACAAAUAAACGUUUCAAUCUGUCAUCAGCUUAUUAUCAACAUUAAAAUACAAACAUAAAGCAUGGAUAAUUAAUGUAACAAUUAAAGUUGGGACAAAGUAGACAUGUAAUAAUUUUCUUUUAAUAAUAGUUAAAAUGAAUGGUAUAAUUAGCAAACAUCCAUAGAUAACGUUCAGUAAUGGAUGUUAAAGUUUAAAAAACAUGGGUGCCAAAGAUGGUAAAAUUUGUUUGUUAUGCAUUCUAUUCUUUGUGAUGUGAAAAUGGACUAUAAAUAUGACCAAUGUCUUAGUAUUAUGUAUGUAUUGAUGUAAUAAAUUAUAAAAUAAGAUAGAGAAACACUUAAUUAAAAUUAAUGCUUGAUUGUGCUGUAGUUAAAACGUAUGUUUAAUAGGUGGAAAGUGAACGUAUUUAACUACGAUUUAAAUAAGAAACAAAUUUGGUUCUUAGAGUCAAAACAUGAGUGAUGAGUGUUGUGAGAAAAUAAGUAAAAGCAAGGAGAUAAAGAAGAAGGGGGGGAUAAAGUAGGGAACAAAAUAGGGAAGGAAUGGACAAGACUUAAGAAUAAAACAAAAGAGUAAAAAUUUCAACAGCUGAUCAGAGUAAAGGCUAUAAUUGCAAUAAUGUCUAAGAUCUGUAAAUAUGAUUUUAGUAGAAAUUCUAUAUCAUUUUACAUAUUUAAGCUCAUUUUUUGCUGUUUGAUUUGUAACAUCUCGGAAAUGAAUCUUUUUAGCUAAGACUUGUUUGUCUAAAAUUUUGACAUGUCCAGUAAAACUUAUGAGACAGUUCUAAUCUAUGAUUAGAGAUAAUUAAUGGUGAACCACAUUUUUUAUUAAUAUCUUUUUAUGUUCUUUAAUUUUGAUGAUUAAUUUUUCCUUUGUUUGGCCCACAUAGUCUAGUAGAAUUACUUUUUUGGGGAAAAAAUUUGUGACUCACACUUGAUUGCAUAAAGUACAAUAAAUGUGCAUAGAUUAAGAUAAGUACGUUUGCCAUUUGCAAAAAGUUGGGGGUUAUUACAAAAUUAUGAGUUGAAGUGAGGAAAAAGCAGUUUUUUGCUUGUGACUCGUAAACAAAAAAUGGAAUCCAAAAAAGUUUUAAAUAAAAAUUGUAGGUAUUAACUAUUAACGCCCAAGCGCAUUUUUUAUAUAAUUUUCAGCGACUUUAUUUGCAACAUUAAAGGUCUAUAAAAAAUUUAAAAAGUAUCAAUUUUUACGGAAAAUUUUAUGAUCGAUUAGAAUCCGUCGUCAAAACUUGCGUGAAAAAUAGUCCAAAAAAGUUAUGGCGGGCUUUAAGUAAAAAAAAUACAAAAAAAUUGUGAAAAAUAAAAAAAAAAUUUUUUUUACAUUGAAAUAGUAUGAAAUUCCAAUCCCUUUCGCAACCAUCAGUGCACAAAAUAUUUGUACUUUAAGGAUACAUUUUUAAAAUUUGUUAAAAUUGUCAUUUUCAUUGAAAAAUGGCGGCUAAAUUGGAAAAAUUUACGAAUUAUCGUAUUUUUUCCACAAUUAUUCAUAAAUUACGGACAAAAUUAACGGCUUAUUAUUACUGAAAAUGGGAUUGAUAUUCACAGUUCAUUUUUGAUCAAAUACACAAUUUUUAAGAUGGUGGAUUCAAUAUUGCGACCAAAAAGGUGUAAUCGUCGAUUUUUCUACAUUUUUCCUAAAUUUCUUCAAGAAUUCUUUCUCAAAAACUGUUUUAUGCACGGACUAUUAUUUAUGAAUUUAUUAGUAUACAUCAAUGGACAAAUUUAUAAAAUUAUCAGGCAGUAAAUUUAAAAUAGUAGAAAUUGUUGGUUACUAACUUUUAUUGCUGUUAUAUAUAAUCAGAUAUUUUCCUUGGUUUUUAUAAUUUAAUAAUUGAGUAACUAAAUAAAAAUCAUAACCUUUAUAAAAUAUUAUAUAUAUAAAAUGCAUAUUUCUAGUUUUGUAAAUUAUUGAAAAAAAUUGUUAUCGAGUGUCGCUAAUUCUACCAUAAUUUGAUAUUUUUCUUUAAUGUUUAUUAUUUUUGUGAUUUACAAUACAUUAUUCUCACCAGGCCUCUAGCACUCGCUUAUAUUUUCAAGCAAAAAUGUGACCUCCUUAUUGUCCGAGAUCCGCUAGGGGCGCUGGUAGUAACAUAGCCCUCUAACCUAUUGCAGCGUGGUGCAACGCGUGAACACACGCAAGUGAUAAAUAGUGAUAGCAAGUGAUAGUGAUAAAUAUAUCUUGAUAAAUAGUGAACGUUUACAGAAACUAGUAAAACGAGAAGCAUGCCACAUUGCAUAGCUCCGGGAUGUACUUCCGGAUAUAAAUCGAAUUCAGAGAAAGUACAUUUUUUUAUUGUGCCAAAGGACGAAAAUAUAAGAAAAUUAUGGCAAGAUGCAAUUUGAAGAAAAAACUAUAGUGCGGGCAGGACAAUCUCUGUGUGAAAAACAUUUUAUGGCCCAAGAUAUAUUGUGGAAGCGUGAACUAACAGGUCCUGAUGGACAAAUACUCGGCGUUUCAUAUUAUAAAUAACCAAGGUUGCGGAAAGGCACCGUAUCGUCACAAUUUUCAUGGACAGAAAUUACUGUGGAUAAUACACUACUUCACAAACAGACACAAAUGGUACAUGAAAUAGUACAACAGUGCAAAGAAGAAAAUGCACAAGAAACAGUAUAAAUAAGCCUAAAUUCUCAUUUAUAGAUUUGAUAGCUUGUACUACAUUACAAUUACCAGUAAAUUGGUCUAGAUGUACUUUCAUCUGUAAUGGAACUAAAAUUGAAUCAUUUGUCAUGGUACUAAUGUAUAAAAAUAGAAAACAGUUUUGUCACUAAAAAUAUCAAAGAACUUAUUGUACAAGAAAACUUAUAUCUAACUAAUAAACUUAUAUCUAACUUAUAUCUACACUAUUUAUACAUUUGUA